UUUUUUUUUUUUUUUUUACAAAGCAUUCCUCCCGUGACCUGAUGGGCAAGCAGGUUUGGAAAACCCCCUGUAGAGGACGUAGAGCCUGCUUGGGUUAGAAGCCACACUUUGGUGGUAGUGGGCAGAUCCGUGCCAUCUCUACAAAGAUGAGCAGCAAAAGCUGGGGACCAAACCAGACACUGCACGUAAAUUCUAGCACAUCGUAGGUGGCGACUCUGUUCUUCGUUAGUUUAUAAUGGUCUCUGGGUCACAGCCCAUCUUGAAGCCUCUCGGUCUGUGAUGUUUGAUGAGGACUUUAGCAGCAUGGUAACUGGUUAAACCUGGCUUGCAUUUCACACACCCUGCCUCCCCCAAGAGCUCCGUGGAUUCCAAAUGAGACCUUUAUCCUGUAGUGUCGUUAUGGGCCGUGGAUAAUGUCUCGAUCCUCAAAGUGACUUAGGGGAGGUCCAGAGUAGUUCUGUCUGAUGUUGUACACUUGGGGAUUUUAGUAUGCUAAUUGGAGAUUGUGUUGGUUCUUGGGGUUUGAUUAGGCUCUCUGAUAAAGAUCCAUCCCUUUCAGAUGUUUGUCAUUUAGGGUGUCUAUUUUGGCCUCGUGUCACAGAGUGUCAGGCUAGCAGCUGUUGUAAUUUUGGUGGCUUGUUUUCUCAAUCAGUCCCGGCUUCUGAAGGCAGGGGAGGUUGUUUGACCCUCAGAAAUGACGAAUCUAGUUUGGAUGGGUAUCUUGCAAAGAAGAGCAGCGAACCUGUGCAUUUUCUCCUUUGUAAGAGAUGCUGGUUUUCUGGAAAUUCCUGCCGGGUCUACCAAAUAGAAUCUUCAGGAACUGACGCUAAAUACUAAAUAGUGGUCGGCGUGUGAGCUCACCAGAGUUGCCGAUAGUUGCUAUAGUUUUGACUUUCUCAGGCUUAAACUUAGAAGCCAUUCUGGUUCUCACAUAACAGAGCCUGAAGUUCUGUAGCAGGGUACUACGUCAUCACAGAUAUGCAUUGUUCUUAUUUAAAACCAUCUGCAUUCCUAAAGUACUGGUGUGUCUGCUAUUAUCUGUGAAUUCCCCUUUGCUGCUUCCGACCCUCUUAAUGGCAGUAUAUAUUUAAAGCAGACUCAGAAAUUAGCAUUCACCCACAUCCCCAUGCCUGGAGAGAGCCAGGUUGGGAUGAGUGGGUGCGCUGUAGCAAGCCAGGUGGCUCCUGUGGGGCUGAGGUGAGGCGCUGACGUCACUGCCGUCGGCUGUGAUUUGGAGAAAACAGUCUUACCCCUCCUGGGUGUCACACUUCUUGCCUGUGAGCCACUUUGCAUUUAGCAUCUGUGGUACGAAAUGGCAUCUUGCCUUCCCAGGGUGGUUGUCCUGUGUGCGCACAGUGAAAGAAGCCACGUGAGCAGGUCGGUUCCCAUGCUAUGAGAGGCUGUGCAAGUCCCUGGCUUUGCCAGGGUAUCUGGGUAUCCGGCUACCUUCAGUCUACAGCCCAGGCCCACCUGCUUCAGGAUAGUACCACCCAACGUGAGCUGGGAGAUAAGAGCGUGCCCACCAGCCAUGGGUGGGGCAUGAUAGGAGUGGUCCCUCAGUUGAGGGUCCUGCCUCCCAGGUGUUGGCAACCAUGGGUAGCCAUCACACUUGCCUAGAGUUGUGUCCUGAGAGUCCAGGAAAGGCAACCUUGGGAGGAGAACAGAAUUCAUACCCCGGGCUCCGUAGAUGUUGUUGCUGUGUGUCCACGGCCAGGAAUCCAGAGAGAAAUGAAGGCGCUCACAGCCCAGGACCCCAGCCCCCAGAGUGGGAUGCCCACGUCUAGGGCAGGUCAGUCGUUCCCGUCCAGACCCUCACAGCUACCCCUCCCGCAGGUGUGUUUCUAUGGUGAUCCUAAGUGCAAUCAGGUUGACUGAAGGAGAGCAUCAGUAUGGAUUUAGUGUCUCCCGACAGGCAUGCAUUGAAACGUGUCCUUUCUUGAGAGGACCGGACACAAGCUGAUGCUGGCCAACACAGUGGACAUUAGAGUAAAGGUCAGAGAGCUCCAGGAGAACUGCAGCACGGUCAAGUGGGUCCUAGCUCCUCCGCAGCCAGAAACAAAGCACAGAGUGUGGAGGGGAAGGAGGACUGGCUCUCACGUUGGUUCCAGGCACCAAGCCAUGCUCUUUCAGGCUCUUUCCCAAUCUUCACACAGUGCAGCAAAGGGAUUAGUCUUAUCUGGAGUUCUCAGAGCCCGACCAUGAGAGGUCGAGGCAUGAGGUCACCAGGUGAGUCAGACCAAGCUAACCAGCCUCCAGGUCAUGUGUGGACUCAGGAACGCCUCACCCGAUUC
rnacentral:lncRNA from 1 species